rnacentral:ncRNA from 1 species
AUCUAAGGAAGAGGCGCAAAUGUUAAAAGUAGCUUAGUAGAGCCAUUUAGGUGGUAUUGAAGCUAAGUAAAAGGAGCAUUUGCCGAAAUGAUUAGUCCCCUAAAAACUAAUCGUUGGGUCCUAGUUGAACAAGCUAGGGACUGUCGUGAAUAUAAAUAUUCACGGGGUGCUUUUAAGAUU